rnacentral:pre_miRNA from 1 species
AGUAAGAUAACUGGGUCAAUUGGUGGUUCCAUUUCAAGUUAUCUGAGGAAUUGCCAUAUUGCUUUCUAGAGUGGUUGCACCAAUUUUCAAUCCCACCAGCAAU